CCUGCACCUGUUGCUGCUGGCUCAUACCCCGCCAUCGCCACAUCUACUCUCUCCCACCACUUAUUUGCCAGCUUUCUCUUCUUCGCUUCUCACCCGAUCUGAUUCUCACAAGAAAUUAAGCUUUUCUGUCCAGCGAGAGAGAGACCAACAAGAUCCACCGAAGAAUUGAACAAAAUCUUUCUAAUUAGCUCAAACUGGUUGAGCUUUCAAGAAAUAAAGUUGGAGAAUUGUUCUUUUGUAAUCCCAAGUGAUCAAAGAGAGGAUCCAGGAGCUAGAGAUCAGUUACUAAUCCUCGGACACUUUAACUUGAAUUCUCUCUGACUUCAUACCCACAAAAUCACAAGUCCCGAAAUAGAGCUGACAAAGCUAUAAUUCAUCAACAACCGCUUUCCGAUGUAGUAAAACCCUCAAAAGAGUUAUAUAUUAAAGCCAAAGCUUAUAAUUCUGGUCAUGUUUAGCAGUUUUUGUGAAAGAGGAAAUUGGUUUGCAUCCCAAAACAGGAAUAUCAGAUCUUUCAAAGGGAAGAAAAUAACAGAUCAGAUUGAUGAUAUAGAUAUGCACUUAAAG
rnacentral:misc_RNA from 1 species